rnacentral:rRNA from 1 species
AUGGGGGUCAAGCUCACGCUCCCGCCGGCGGCACUGAUCUCCCAGGUGGCCAAGCUGGGAUCCCUCCUUGUCCUCCUCCUCCUCGCGCUGCUGCUGCCCGUCUUCCUCAGGGUCGCCUACGGCUACCUUCUCUUCAACGGCAUCGUCCUCGCGCUCGGCAUCCAGGCCUUCGUCGGCAGCGGCGGCGCUUCCAUCGCCGACGACGAAGACUGGCACGGGUCUUCGAGUGCCGGUCAGGCCGUCGAGGCCUCACCGUUCCAGAGGGCUGGAGCUGAAUCAGUCCGUCCCGACGACCGGACGGCGGUUGUGGGUGAUCGUGUCGUGGUGCCUGCCUUUGUGGCAAGUAAUAUAAUCGAGCUGAAGACGAAGACCAAGGAGGUGGUGCUGAAGGUGCUGAAGAAGUGCCCAUCGACUGCAAGCAUCUUCUUCCUCAGCGCGCUGAACGGCAGCCAACAAGCCGGCGGAGAGGAAAAGGCACCGCAAGAGGAGGAGGAAGAGUGCGACGUCGACAUGGACGGCGACGUGAGGAUGAGUCGGGAGGAGCUAUUUGCCAACACGGAGCGGUUCAUCGGCAACUUCCGCAAAGAGCUCAGCAUGCAGAGACAGUAG